GAAAGUCUUUCCACACCACAGAAAUUUGGAUAAGAAGGUAGUUUCUUCAUACUGAUGCGAUAAAUAAUGGUUUAAUUAUCUUUUUGAGUGAUAUAAGGGAGAUAAUAUGCUACUUCCGGUGAAAUGAAUGUCACAUCUGGUCUCAUAUGAUAGCUUCUUUCACACUGAUUGCAAAAAUAUAUAGUUUCUAUAUACUUUUGUAUGUAGAAUGGGAGAUAAUUGGCCACUUCCGGUUUGUUGGAAGUCAUUUUUAGUCUUCAGUAAUUUGUUCAUGUAUCUAUAUGACAAAAUAUAUGGAUUCUGAGUACUUUUGUGUGAAAAAAUUGCAAAAAAAGCUACUUCCGGUUUUCUCAAGGUCACUUCCGGUAGCCAUUUUUCAAGGUCAUUUGUCACUUAACCUUUUGUAUCAGGUCAAAUGUCUUUAUAAUGAACUUACUUGAAGUUAUAAUCAAAUAACCUCAUAUCAAGACAUUUCAGGGGCAGACAACUCCUAUAAGAUGCCAUCUAAUUGUAUAAGACUAAAUGUAGCAUAUCUUCAUAACAAUUAAGCAGACAUUUUGCACUUGUUCUUUUAUAUGUAUCUCUCAAAGUGAGUGAGAAAAUGCAAAAACAAGCAAAAGUCACAAUUGAGAACUUGACCUUGACCUUUGACCUUGACCUCAUUUUCUAAGUUAGGACCUAGGGGACUCAAAUAAAAACAUCCCAGGGUUAUACGGUUAACUGUUUAUGAGUUAAAUAAACAUACCGACAAAUUUAUUUUGUAAAGGUAGAUAACUCCUAUAAAAUUUCAUCGAAUCGCUUCGAUCCAAAUACGCCAAAAAUUACUGAGGAUGUAACGAACAAUUUGUAAAAAGAAUUUUGUCGCUAUCUUUUUUUGUUACGAAGGAGAUGCACACUUUGAUGAUAAACAGUGAAUAGGGAGAUAACUCUUACAAAGAAAAUGGUUCGGCUUAGCAGGGUGAAAUUUAAAAGCGCAUAAACUAUACGAUACAAUAUGAGAAAUAUCUAAGCGACAUAUUGCGAAACAAACAUUUAUCGCAAGAACAAAAUUUGGCGGAAAAAAAAAAAAAUAAUAAUAAAUAUAAAGCAAUUGUUUUGAAAACAAUUGUUAGGCAGUCUUUCCCCUCUGAUGAAUGGAUAAUUGAUUUUUUUUUUAUUGAUUGAUUUGGAAAAAAGGGGGGGGGGUAUUUGUUUAUUUGUUUGUUUGUUUGCUUUGGUAUGGGGUCUAUAUUAUUAUGUUACCGGAGAAGUUUCAUGUUUAGUUUGGAAAGUUUUUCUUUUAUUUUAGAUACAGCGCGCGCGCAAGAUUGAGGAGACAUCACGUGACGCGGGUUUAUAUUAAGAAAAACUUAGUCUUUUAAUUUCUUUUUAGGUCGGGACCUUGAACAGACAACAUGUCUAGAGAUGGAAUGUACACAAUGUAAUUUCUUUUGUCAUUGUAGGAAAUUGACAUUUUGAUCACAGUUCACCAGCAGUGCAUGUUUUGGAUUUAAUCGAUCCGGUGUAACUUUAAAACACAUUUAAUGAUUAUUUUUUGAUAAUGUCCAUUUUUCAGCACCUGUUUGUAACACAGAUUAGUAUUUCAAUCUCGGAGCGGACAUUUUAUUGUAGGUUUUUACUGAGAUUUACGGACCUAGCAAGCGAUUUUUACGGCAUUGCCAUUUCUUUUUUCUAGGAAAAGUCUUGAGAGAUAUCUGCAAAAAGUUUUUUUAUGAACCUUCAGUACAUGUAUGCCCUGCUGACUGCAAAUUUUCAGGUCGAUUGGACUUGUAGUUUCAGAGAAAUAUGUGGAUUUUUUUUCAGAAGAGACGUAAGAACAAUAAUAAAAUAAAAAUUUUCUUGAAUAAUUGAGAGUUUGUUCCUUCAAUAAACUGUCAUAAAUAAACAGUCAUACAUAUUGAUUGAUUGAUUAGUUGGUUGAUUGAUUGGUUGGUUGGUUGGUUGAUUAAACACGUUUGAUAGGGUCACUUAGAACAAGGGAAAAAAACCUCAAGAGACCUUGCAUCCCGUAUUAAACGCAUGACACGGAAACAUACAUUAAGUGAUUGAUUGGUUGGUUGGUUGGUUGGUUAAACACGUUGGUUAAACAUGUUGGUUUAACACGUUGGUUAAACACGUUGGCUGGUUAAACACGUUUGAUAGGCUCAAUUUAAACAAGCGAAAAAAAAAACCAUCUUGGAUCCCGUAUUUAACACAUGAAACGGAAACAUGCAUUGAUUUAUUUAUUGGUUGGUUGGUUGGUUGGUUGGUUUAACACGUUGGUUAAACAUGUUGGUUAAACAUGUUGGUUAAACACGUAGUUUAAACACGUUGGCUGGUUAAACACGUUUGAUAGGCUCAAUUUUAACAAGCGAAAAAAAAACCAUCUCGGAUCCCGUAUUUAACACAUGAAACGGAAACAUGCAUUGAUUGGUUGGUUGGUUGGUUGGUUGGUUGGUUGGUUGGUUGGUUAAACAGGUUGGUUAAACACGUUGGUUAAACACAUUGGAUAGGCUCAAAAUUGGAUCCCGUAUUUAACACAUGAAACGGAAACAUGCAUUGAUUGAUUGAUUGGUUGGUUGGUUGGUUGGUUGGUUGGUUGGUUAAACACGUUGGUUAAACAUGUUGGUUAAACACGUUGGUUAAACAUAUUGGUUAAACACAUUGGUUAAACACGUUGGCUGGUUAAACACGUUGGAUAGGCUCAAUUUAAACAAGCGAAAAAAAAACAUCUUGGAUCCCGUAUUUAACACAUGAAACGGAAACAUG
rnacentral:lncRNA from 1 species